UACGUAGGUGGCGAGCGUUGUCCGGAUAUACUGGGCGUAAAGGGAGCGUAGGCGGACUUUUAAGUGAGAUGUGAAAUACUCGGGCUCAACUUGAGUGCUGCAUUUCAAACUGGAAGUCUAGAGUGCAGGAGAGGAGAAUGGAAUUCCUAGUGUAGCGGUGAAAUGCGUAGAGAUUAGGAAGAACACCAGUGGCGAAGGCGAUUCUCUGGACUGUGACUGACGCUGAGGCUCGAAAGCGUGGGGAGCAAACAGG
rnacentral:rRNA from 1 species